UGAAGAAUUUGUCCUCAGUGGUGGCAAUGACACCACUCCCAAAGCACAGAUCACACUGUCAUCAGGAAGCACACUGGUCCAGAAGAUGAGCGUGGACAACCUGCAGUCUGAAAUGGGGACAUUCGAGAGCACUAUGUCCUACUCCCAGAACAAAGUAAGAAUAUGGCACGUCUUUACUACCCACUCAUCACCCAUGGUGCUGGAGAUCUGAGGUGAAAGAAAGGCAGGUUGAGGUUGCCAGGGUCAGAGUAGUGCAGAAGGUGUAUUUUCUGAGGCAGUGAAGAGAGUAGUAGAGGAAGAUGGGUCCAGGGUGAUGGAUCCUAAGAGGAGGCUGAGGUCAAAAGAGAGC